AGUCUUUAGGUAACAGAACGUUCCAUGGGACGAUGGCUAAAUUUGAAGAUUUAGCCAGCGGUGGAUACAAGAACUCUUGGGAGUCUGUGUCUUCUCUUGAGGGAAAGCACAGAUCCUCAUGGAACUCUUUCGAGGGGAAUCCAAGGACGGAGGCCGCCAUCAGCACAACACAGCCUCUCCUACCGGUAACACUGCAACCUUUGGCUCUUGUGAUUCAUGCCGCUACGAACGUCUACCCAGAAGCGUAAUUGCUAGAUCGCAUGGCUGUCUCUGUGCUGAGGACCAGCCUGAAAUGUAAACUUCGGGUCUUCUCAGAGAUCUUUUCCAAGCCUUUCCCUGGGCAAGUACAAUCACUUUCUGAUUU